AUUUAGAUAGUUUAAAUAAAAUAUUAAUUUGUGGAAUUAAAGAAGUAAGUUACUCUAAAUA
rnacentral:tRNA from 1 species